UUUUUGUCAAUUAACUUCUGUCCUAAAAAUUUUUAUUGGCGUAGAGUUGAUUUACAAUGUUGUGUUAGUGUCAGGUGUACAGCACAGCGAUUCAGUGCUACAUAUACUUAUAUCCGCUCUUUCACAGAUUCUUUUCCCAUGGAGGUUAUUACAAAGUAUUGAGUAGAGGUCGCUGUGCUAUACCGUAGGCUUUGUUGGUUUCAAGUAAUUGUGGGUUUUUUUGGUUUAUUUGUUGUUGUUGUUGUUUUUGCUUUUUAGGGCCGAACCCACAGCAUAUGCAAGUUCCCAGGCUAGGGUUGAAUCAGAGCUGCAGCCUACGCCACAACCACAGCAACUUGGGAUCUGAGCCAUGUCUUCAACCUCCACCACAGCUCACAGCAACGGUGGAUCCUUAACCCACUGAGUGAGGCCAAGGAUGGAAGCCUUACCCUCUUGGAUCCUAGUUGGGUUCCUUAAUGCUGAGCCAUCAUGGGAACUCCUCAGUUAAUUGUUAGUGGUCACCAACAGAUGAAAGAUUGAGGCUUAAAGAGAUUACCUAUCCUGUAAUCUAAGAAGGGGACAGAAGGACUGAAGACAGAUGCCUCCUUGUCCUCUGGGCUCGUCUGCCAGCUAAAAAUAGAAGCGCCCCCACUGAGGUAAGGAGCUGUCACAUUUGUCUGGUGCAAUGGUUUUUUCUAAAUAAGAGCUCCUUAUGACUCCUCGUUCAACUACCCAUAAUGUAAUUAUGGUCAAUUUUAAAUGUUGCUAAUGAUUUUCAGUAUCUCCUCCAAUUAUCUUUAUUACUGCUCUGCAAAGUGAGGCCUUAAUUCAUUGACGAGGUGUCAGAAAUUACCCUUUAACUUUUCACCCAUCAGCAGUACCACGCAGGGUCUUUCAUCAUCUUCUAGUGAUGAAUGGAGCACUCGCGCUCUCUCUUUUUUCUCUCUCCCUUCUUCGCUGCCCAGCAAAGUCAUUGUCUGCUUCUCUUAGGAUCCUCAAACACACCAGGCAGCAUGCUUAUCUUACACAUGAUCACCUUGUAUUUCCUGUAUUUUUCCCCUGUCUUCCUACUGAGCGAUAUUGAUUUUUGUCUUCAUUAAUUCUUGCCAGGGAUCGAACCCACAUCCUUAUGGAUACUAGUCGGCUUUGUAACCUGCUGAGCCACAAUGGAAACUCCCUGAUUUCUCAUUCUUAAUUUAUUUUUUGUUAUUUUUCUUUUACUUAUAAUAAGGCUUAUUGUGUUUUGGUCUUUCCCUGGGGAUUCUUUUUACUGUUUUCCCAUUCCUGUUGCUCUAGUUCUCUUCAGUUGCUCCAGCUGCUUAGAGCUGGAUUGGGUUGUGGAGGUCCAGGGCCAGGCCGGUGACCAUCAGGGUCCCUUGGGUCCUGCCCACCGUUCCCUUCCUACCUGCCCAGCUCCCCACGAGCGUCAAGCAAGGCUUUUCUCCUGGUGCCCGAGUGUUGGCAGGUAAGGGAAAGAACCGGGGUGGGGGUGGUUGGUGGCUGGCCUCGGGGGCCCCUGGUCCUUCCUACCAGAGUGAGUAACAGGUUCCAUCCGUGGUUAGGCACCCUGGGCUUUGAACCAGGUGUCUGACACUCACCUCUGAGGUUCAUUAUGCUCCGUGUUUGACAGUCAAGGCGGCUGAGGUAGCUUGUAAGUGGAUGUUCUGGGAUUCCGGCCCGGUCUGUCUGCAUUGUUUCCAUCACAGCACAUCCUUUUUGUCCAAGUGAAGUUGGUGCUUGAGUGUUUUCUACACUUUUUAUUUAUUUUUUUAUUAUUUUUUUCUUUUUUGGCCGUCCCAUGGCAUAUGGAGUUCCUGGGCCAGGGAUCCGAUCAGAGCCACAGGUGCAACCCAUGCUCAGGUGCAGCAUUGCCAGAUCCUUAACCCAUUGUGCUGGGCCAGGCAUCAAACCUGCGUCCCAGCAGUCCCAAGAUGCCACUGAUUCUGCGGUGCCACAGCGGGAACUCCUCUACGCCUUUUAUUAUCUUCAUUUGGGUGUUAGCUCCUUCAUGUUCUGAUUAGAGGGCAUCUUAGCUUGUAUCUUACUGCUGUUGGAUCAUGCGCCCUGAAGUUGUUCUCAUUAAUAAUCUCACUACACUCUUUUCCUUGCAUGUUCUAUUAGGGUCAGAACCUGGUGAAUCCUGUUUCCUGUUCCUGCCACUGUGAGAGCAGGUCUAAAGUAAUAUCAUGUGUUGUCCUGAUCAUCUAAUAACAUCAAAAUCAAGGUUAUUAGCGCAGGGAACUAUAUCUAGUCACUUAUGAUGGAGCAUGAUGGAGGAUAAUGAGAGAAAAAGAAUGUAUACAUGUGUGUGACUGGGUCAGUUGCUCUAUAGUAGAAAUUGACAGAACACUGUAAACCAACUAUAAGGGAAAAAAUAAAAAUCAUUUAAAAAUAAGGUUAUUGAUUAUUUUCCUUUUGGUGAGUUGAACUUUGAUGCUCAAAGGAUUUUUCCAUGGGUCCUUUCCUUUUAUCAGUACUGUUUUUUUUUUUUUUUUUUUUGAGUGUUCUGCUGAUGUUUACAACAGAAUAUUAUAGCUGAGUGCAGGUUGGGAUCAGACUUGAUAAAUUUAGGGUAUGUCUCAGUUUCAAAAAAUACUGACAAUGACUUUUAGUCUACAGUGAAAGUUUUAGAUUAGAUGCCUAGGGUACUUUUUGGUUCUGUAAUUCUGGUUUCCAAAAUUUUGGUUUUCUAAGAAUCAAUAUUUCCUUUCUUACUGUCUUUUUUGAGGGGUCGAGAGAUGUCUUUAAAGUUUAUUUUUUUUGCAGGUAGGAAGUUGAUAUGUAUUAAUUGUGCAAAAAGUGGAAAAUAGAGAGAUAUAUAAAGGAUAAAAUAUUAACCUCCUCUAAUCUUACUUUUUAGUGAGAACCACUAUUAACCACUUUGGGAUUUUUUUUUUUUCUCUAUGUGUGUGUGUGUGUGUGUGUGUGUGUGUGUGUGUGUAUCUUAUCAGACCUGAGGUCACAACACAUACAUAAUUUUGUUUUUUAUUUUCUCUUUUUCCUCUUUUGGACUGCAUCAGAAGCAUAUGGAAAUUCCCAGGCUAGGGAUUGCAUUGGAGCUACAGCUGUUGGCCUAUGCCACAGCCACAGCAACUUGGGAUCCGAGCCGCGUCUGUGACCUGUACCAUAGCUCACGGCAACACCAUAUCCUUAACCCACUGAACAAGGCCAAGGAUCAAACCUGCAUCCUCAUGGAUACUAGUUGGGUUCAUUUUUGCUGAGCCACGGUGGGAACUCCCACAACUUUGUACUCUCCUUUCUCAUUUAACGAUGGUAAUGCAUUCUGCAACAUUAAAAACUCCUCAGGAGCACAGUUUUAAUGGCAAUAUAAUGUUUCAUAGUAUGUAUAUGUCAUAACUUACUCCCCAGUGUUAGGCAGCUGUUUCCAAUUUUAUGAAUAAUGCUCCCGUGUACGCCUCAGUGCAUCCACUUUGUCCAGAAUUAUGGUUGUUUCAUUUAGAUUGAUGUUUAAAAGUGAAAUUAACAGGUCAAAAAGUAGGACCACUUUAAAAGUACUUGAUACUCAAUGCUUGACAGAGUGAGUUUCCAUCCGAGCCAGCAGUGGGUGGCAGCCUGGGACUCAUAAACCCCAACAGGACUUGUGUGCUGGCCUGGUUCAUCUGAGGAGCAAAAAACCAGUGGUGUUUUGGUUUAUAUUUCUUUGAUUACCAAUUGAAGUUAAACAUUUUUUAUCUGUACAUUAACUUUUCUAUUCUUUAAAAAACACUCUUUUUAAACUCUUGAAGUCUAGUGUAUUCCUAACAACUUAGAAGGGAUCUUUGUAUAUUAAGGCUAUCAACCCUUUCUCCAUUAUAUUUGUUGAAAAUGUUUUCCUAAUUAGUUGUUGACUUUUCAUUUCUCGAUGUUUAGAUCCAUUUAAUUAAUUUUUAUUUAUAAUUUUAAUUUACUAUAUACUUUAUAAUAUACUGUAGAAUAAUUUAUCAUGUAAAAAUAAAUUUAGUAAUUUCAUUUACUAAUGUUAAUUUUUAAGUAGUCAAUUAUAUCUUUUAUGGGAGUUGCUGCUGUGGCUCAGUUGGGUUAAGAACCCAACUAGUAUCCACUAAGAUGCAGGUUUGAUCCUGGCCCUUGCUCAGUGGGUUAAGGAUUCAGCAUUGCUGUGAGCUGUGAUGUAGGUCACAGAUGCUUCUCAGAUCUUGCAUUGCUAUGGCUGUGGCAUAGUUCGGCAACUGCAGCUCCAAUUUGACCCCUAGCUUGGGAACUUCUGUAUGCUGCAUUGCAACCUUAAAAAGAAAAAAAAUUACAUCUUUUAUGUGUAUAUGAUUUGGUCAUAGUUUAAAAAGUCUUUCCCCAUCCAGAAAAGAGAUAGUAUAUUUAACUACUUUUUAUAGCUUCUCUUAUGGAAUUUUUGAACUUUAUGAUUUACUUGGAAUUUAUUUUGGAGUGUAUUUUUUAACUUGAUUUCCCAAUACAGAUACUCAGUUGACCCAGCAAUUAUUUUGUUGAAUAAGCCAUCAUAUCACCAGAGACUUCUGUCAUCACUCCAUUAUGUAUUUUUAUAUCUUAGGGUCAGUUUCUAUAAUAUUUUGUUUUAUUCUUCUAUUUAUUAUUCACCCUGAAAUUGUACUCCUAAUUACUGUAGCUUUAUAAUAUGUUUCUUACUUGAGAGAUUGUAUUUCUCCUUCUUGCAAUUAUUUUCUGGAACUUAUUUGAACUUUUUGAUUUUUUUAAAUAUAGAGCAUAGAAUGAUUUUGCCAAAUUCGUUAUCCUUUCUCUCCCCACUCCUACCCUAAAGCAAAACCGCAAACAAAAGCAAAACCAAAGGAAAUCUAAACAUCUCUUCGACUUAUUACUGGAAUUGUGUACAACUGAUAAAAUGGUUUAGAUAGAACUGAGCUCUUUCAGUGCCUAAGGAGGGACUUUCUUUUAAAACAAAAGCGUCUUAGUUUUUUGUGUUCUGCUUAAUCUGCAAUUGUGUAGUGUCUAUGAGAUGGUCAUCACACAUUGUAGUUUGAGUACCAAGAAAGGUCUAAGGCAGAGCUGUGCCACUGCAGCCUGAGAACAGCCAAAGUGGCCAAGGCUGCCUGUCUGUGACCCUCGAGCCAGCAUGAUUUUUACACUUAUAUCUGAGGGUCCAACCAACUGCAGAUGAAAAAUAUUCAGAAAAGGAAUCCUGUUGUGGCUCAGCAGUAGCAAAUCCGGCUAGUAUCCAUGGAGACGUGGUUUGAUCCCUGGCCUUGCUCAGUGGGUUAAGGAUCCGGCAUUGCCAUGAGCUGUGGUGUAGGUCUCAGAUGCAGCUUGGAUCUGGCAUUGCUGUUGCUAUGGUCUAGGCUGGCAGCUACAGCUCGAUUGGACCCCUAGCCUGGGAACUUCCAUAUGCCACAGGUGCAGCCCAAAAAAGACACACACAUACACAUACACACAAAAUUCUGGAAAAAGAAUUCCAGGAAGUUCCAAAAAAACAAAACUUGGAAUUUGCUGUGUUCCAGCAGCUAUUUCCAUAGCAUGUACAUUGUAUUAGGUAUUAGCAGUCAUCUAGGAGUUCAAUGUAGCACAAUGUUUUAAGAAUCCGAUUGUAGCGGCUCAGGUUGCUGCAGAGGCUUGAGUUUGAUCCCAGGCCCAGCCCAGUGGGUUAAAGGAUCCAGGCGUUGCUGCAGCUGUGGUGCGUAGGUCUAAGCUUUGGCUUGGAUUCAGUCCCUGGCCUGGGAACUUCCAUGUACGUGUGUAUGGCCAUUAAAAAAAAAAAAAGUCAUCUAAACAUGAUUUAAAGUAUAGGGGAGGAUGUGCAUAGUUAUAUGCAAAUACACCCUUUUAUAUAAGGGACUUGAGCAUCCCCAGAUUUUGGUAUCCAUGGGGGUUCCAGAGCCACUCCCCUGCGGAUACUAAAGGAUGAUAUCGCUGCAGAAAGCUCAGACUCCCCCCACCUUCCCAGGAGGAACGCUGACAGGAGUGUGGGUCUAGCAGCUCAGGCAGGGAAGUAGCCAUUGGGGCCUCUGGAUGUCCUGAAGGAGCUGGAGGACUGGUAAGGUUUUGGGAGGAGACGUGAGGACGAGAGAUGGGUUUUGUUUCUUUUGGUUUGUCUUUUUAUGGCCACACCCUUGGCAUAUGGAAGUUCCCAGGCUAGGGGCUGAAUCAGAGCUGCAGCCGUCAGCCUACGACACAGCCACAGUCAUGCCAGAUCCAAGGCAUGUUUGUGACCUACACCACGGCUCAGGCAAUGCUGGAUCCUUAACCCACUCAGCGGGGGCCAGGGAUCAAACCUGUGUCCUUGUGGAUCCUAGUUGGGUUCGUUACUGCUAAGUCGUGAUGGGAACUCCGAGAGAUGUUGACAGGAGACAGACGGGGUCUUCAGGUUACCGUUUCUGGUCCUGAGACCUGGAAACCCCGAGGAAAGAGAGAUUCAGACAGUGAGUCAGAAAAAUAACAUCAGUCCUGCUUCUGCUCCAGACAUUCCAGUGCUGCUGAAGGAAGGGCCAGAGAGCACCAGUGAGCCCCAGUUUCAUGUCCGAGCAGCCCGAGUCUCAAGGGGUGGGUCCAACUUAGGGAAUUUCUCCUGCAUCUUGGAAAAUAUGAUUCUUCAGUUGAAUCCGGCCUUUUGGAUAAUGUGAAAGGAAAAACAACCAACAUUUAAGUCUUAAGCGCCCACAUUUACUAUCUGAAAUAUAGAAGGUGUUUGCUAGAGGGUUCAUAAUUUUUUUUUUCCCCCAAGUGUGGAAUUAUUCAAGAGUAGUGUAAGGCCCUGCAGAGUCUGGUUAAUAGAAUUUACAGCAGACAAGUCAGGAAAGACCAAAUUUCAUGGAAAUACCUCUAAAGCAUGGUUGCUGGGAAUUUAAAUUAGAUUUGAGUGUGACUGAUGGCCACUAGAAAUGCUGGAGUGUUGUUUUCUGAUGGAGUGGGUACCGAUUUGGAGUUUUGAGUCCAAGUAUCUGCAUUUUCCAGAUGAAAUCACUUUCCCUAAGUGAAUGAAAACACGGGCAUAUCGGGAGCACAAAGCUAUUGGUUUGAGAACGUGUCCCUUAGCAGAUUGAUGUGCAAUCAGGAAGAUUCUAGUGGCCGGACUCCAAGGAGUCUUUGGAGAAUUUUCCGCUCAAGAAUAGUGUAGUUUUGGAGUUCCUGCUGUGGCACAGUGGGUUAAGAAUCCAACUACAGCAGCUUGGGUCCCUGUGAAGGCUCCAGUUCAUCCCUGGCCCAGCACAUGGGUUAGAGGAUCCGAUGUUGCUGCAGCUGUGGCAUUAGGUCUCAGCUGCAGCUUGGUUUCUAUCCCUGGCCCAGGAACUUCCAUAUGCUUGGGUGCAGCCAUUAAAAAAAAGAAAAAGGAGUUCCUGUUUUGGCUCAGCGGUAGCAAACCUGACCAGUCUCCUGAGGACUUGGGUUGAUCCCUGGCCCCGUUCAGUGGGUUAAGGAUCCAGUGUUGCUGUGAACUGUGCUAUAGGUUGCAGACCUGGCUUGGAUCCCACGUGGCUGUGGCUGUGGCUGUGGCCAGCAGCUCUGAUUGACCCCUAACCUGGGAACUUCAAUAUGUCCAGCCCUAAAAAGCAAACAAACAAACAAAAACAAAUCAAAACAAAAAAGCUGGAGGAAUUGGAAAGAGAAUUAAGAAAAAAAAGAAUAAUAAAGGGAAACGGGUACGGAAGGUAUUAUAAUGGAAUGAAACCUAAAUGCACUAAAGACUGACCAUCUGAAUUCAAAUAGUUUUAAGCGAUCUUUGCAAGAAGUGAUUAUGUAAGUGAAUGGAAAAGAACAGGAAUAGAGAAGAGAUAUUAUUCUUCUGGCUGAGAGAAACCAUGAAAGACUUGAACUAGGUCUCUGCAAAGGUGCUUGGUAAAGUCAAUGCAUUGCCACCACUUUUUUAAAAAACAUUUACACUUCUUUUUUUUUCAUUUUUCAAUAUUUGAUUGAAGUGUAGUCUACAAUGCUGUGUUACUUUCUGCUGUCCAUCAGAGUGAUUCAGCCAGGCCUAUAUGCAUAUCCAUACCCAGAUAGAUUGUCACAGAAUAUUGGGUAGGGUUCCCUGUGCUGUACAGCAGGAUCCAUUCCAUAUGCAAUAGUGUACAUAGGCCAAUCCCAAACCUCCCCCCCAAAAGUAUAGUUGUUGAGAAUCAAGGAGAAAGCAAGAUUAAAAUAUUGGGUGAUGGAUCUGCAUCUGUCUCACUGGCUCACUUUGGUCCACUGAGCGGGUACCUUGCAAGGGCUGUAGGCAUCAGUGUGAGAUGUUAAUCUAAUAGGCUGUUCCUUCACUGGGAUAUUCUUGGUGGACCUCUGUUGUUUCCACCAGGUGUGUUGACAUUUAGAACACUCAUCAGCAGGCAGGACAGCCCAUUGAGGACGUGAGUGAUGGAGACAGUGUGGGAUGGAGCUUUCUAGACAGGCUCUAAAACCUCAGAUCCUUGCCUGGGCAGGGCUUCAUUCCAUUCCAAGUUGCUAGGACAGAUCUGCACAUAUUCAUGAAGAGUUGCAUCUAAGUUCCCUCAGGAAGGGCUUUCUAGGUGAUUUUAAAGAUGCGCAUCAAUGACACUUCAAAAACCUUAAAAAAAAAAAAAAAAAAAAGAAAGAAAGAAAGAGGAGUUCCUGCUGUGAUGCAAAAGGAUUGAAGGCAUCUCUGCAGAACUAGGAGGCAGGUUCCAUCCCAGGCCCACAGGCAUAGUGGGUUAAGGAUCUGGUAUUGCUGCAGCUGCAGUAUGGGUUGAAAUUGUGGCUCAGAUCUGAUCCCUGGCCCUGGAACUCCAUAUGCCAUGGGGCAGCCAAAAAAA
rnacentral:lncRNA from 9 species